AUAAAAGUGACGCGGAACAAGAAGGUAGUAUAGCUCAUGGCGCCUUCUUCUUCUUCUUCCGUCGCUCGCAGCAUCGCCAUCCUCGCUCUCAUAUGCUCUGCGUUGGCAUGCUCCGCGGCGGCACAAGUUGCUCAGGGCGGAAGCCGUGAGCCAGGUCGUCCUCCCUCGCCACACUUCCCGUCGCCGAGGCGGCCGGGGCAGGCACCGCUCACUCCACCGCCGCCGCCAUCACCGAAAAAGAGGAGGGCGUUCCCACCUCACCGGAAGACACUACAGGUUGCUGGUGGCUAGCUCUGAAUUGAAGAUGAUGUCGACGUGUUAUGUCUUGGUGUAUCAAUGCGUGCACCUGAUGUUAUUAAUAAGGCCUGGACCUAAUAUUUUUACUUCUUCUGUUC